rnacentral:rRNA from 1 species
CCGGCGAUCCCUGUGCCACCAGGCGCGGUAAUGCGGGGUGGUCGGGCGUUAGUCGGAAUCCCUGUGCGUAAAGGGGGCGGAGGCGGCGCGCCAAGUGCUUGGGGAAAUCCCACAGCUCAACUGGGGAACAGCAGGGGAAACUGGCGGGCUUGAGGCAGGUAGGGGCCGGAAGAACAGUUGGUGGAGCGGUGAAAUGCGUAGAUAUCAACGGGAAUGCCGAUGGGGAAGCCGUCCGGCUGGGCCUGUCCUGACGCUGAGGCACGAAAGCGUGGGGAGCAAACAGGAUUAGAUACCAGUAGUC